GAUGAACGCUGGCGGCGUGCCUAAUACAUGCAAGUCGAGCGAAUAGACGAGGAGCUUGCUCCUCUGACGUUAGCGGCGGACGGGUGAGUAACACGUGGAUAACCUACCUAUAAGACUGGGAUAACUUCGGGAAACCGGAGCUAAUACCGGAUAAUAUCUUGAACCGCAUGGUUCAAUAGUGAAAGACGGUUUUGCUGUCACUUAUAGAUGGAUCCGCGCCGCAUUAGCUAGUUGGUAAGGUAACGGCUUACCAAGGCAACGAUGCGUAGCCGACCUGAGAGGGGGAUCGGCCACACUGGAGCUGAGACACGGUCCAGACUCCUACGGGAGGCAGCAGUAGGGAAUCUGCCGCAAUGGGCGAAAGCCUGACGGAGCAACGCCGCGUGAGUGAUGAAGGUCUUCGGAUCGUAAAACUCUGUUAUGAGGGAAGAACAAAUGUGUAAGUAACUAUGCACGUCUUGACGGUACCUAAUCAGAAAGCCACGGCUAACUACGUG
rnacentral:rRNA from 1 species